rnacentral:misc_RNA from 1 species
UUGAUUCAUUUGUGUGUCACUCAGAGGAUGCCACUGGUGGAUACAGAGAGUUUUGGGGCCUCCGGCGGGCGCCUGGUCCCGGGCCGCGGGGGCGCCGGGGCGAUCCCGCCGAAGCAACGAUGGGUAGGUUCACACGGGUUUGGGAGUUGUAACACUCGAUAAUGAUCCCUCCGCUGGUUCACCAACGGAGA